rnacentral:lncRNA from 1 species
UUGGAACGUCCUCAGGGGAGCAGCAUUAUUCACAAUAGCCAAAAAGUGGAAGCAACCCAAGUAUCCACCAAUGGAUGAAUAGAUAAGAGGAGGAAAAGUUUCACGUUACAACAUGGGCUUUGGACAGUCCUGAUAAUUGGCUAACGGUGGGAUACACAUAGACUUGUUAUUAACAGCCAAGAUAACUUGAGUCAUUGAGUGACUAAGACAUGUGCCUGUCCUUACAACCAGGACAAGAUGAAGAUGCGAUCCAUGUGAAGCCUCUGGCAUCCUGAGCAGUCAACCCCUCCCAUUCUGAGCUCUUUCCACUGACCUCAGAAGAAGGCUGGCUCAAAUAACACACUUGUCAAAACACCUAGGAAACCAUGAGUUUGGCACAUGAUGAGAAAAUUGGGCUCAAAGAGGACAGGAUUUUCCCAUUAUGGAACAACUAAUAGGAUUCACAGGCCUCUUGAUGUUACAUGUCACAUUCAUAUCACUGGAUGAUAUAUCAGAAGGAUAGUUCUCUGAUCCAAUAUCCAUGUUGGUGUAUGUAAAUGAUGAGCUUUCCUGCACUACAAAAGCAUUUUAUAAUUAAAGAGAAUUUUUCCUCAAUUCAGAAAGGUAACUAUAGAUAAUUAUAUAUAUCAUACCUGAAAGGGUAAAGGAACGUUUACAGAUUACUUUGUGUCUUUUGAAUUUUUAAAAAUGAAGGUUUGCAAACCAAAAAUAAAAUUCUAAGCCCCCGACCAUCUGAGUGGACCCCUCCUUUCAGCAAGGGCAUUCCAAAGCUAACCUGAAAA